GGGGGUAUAGCUCAGUGGUAGAGCACCCGGAUACGUAUCGGAAGGUCGGGGGUUCGACUCCCUCUGCCUCCA
rnacentral:tRNA from 1 species